GAUGAACGCUAGCGGCGGGCCUAAUACAUGCAAGUUGAACGAGAUUGUUGGUAGCAAUACUGACAUGAAAGUGGCGCACGGGUGCGUAACACGUAUGUAACCUACCUUUAACUGGGGCAUAGCUUCGAGAAAUCGAAAUUAAUACCCCAUAACAUUUAGAAAAGGCAUCUUUUCUUUAUCAAAGUUCCGGCGGUUAAAGAUGGACAUGCGAUGCAUUAGCUUGUUGGUGAGGUAACGGCUCACCAAGGCUACGAUGCAUAGGGGGUCUGAGAGGAUGAUCCCCCANACUGGUACUGAGACACGGACCAGACUCCUACGGGAGGCAGCAGUGAGGAAUAUGGUCAAUGGGCGGGAGCCUGAACCAGCCAAGUCGCGUGAAGGAAGAAGGAUCUAUGGUUCGUAAACUUCUUUUGCAGGGGAAUAAAGUGCGGGACGUGUCCUGUUUUGUAUGUACCCUGAGAAUAAGGAUCGGCUAACUCCGUGCCAGCAGCCGCGGUAAAGUAG
rnacentral:rRNA from 1 species